CUCCAUUCCAUUCCAUUUUAGUGCAGUGUGAGUUUCUGUGUUAUUUAAAACUUUUCUACCAUUAAUAUUUUUAUUGUUAUUAGAUAAUAAAACAUAAAUAGUAUUUUAUACGUCACUUAUUUUUUUAAUCUUCUCAUAAAUUUUUCAAAUAAGAAGUAUGGUUAAAAGUUGAACACGAAAAGCCACAACUACACUUGAA
rnacentral:pre_miRNA from 1 species